UUGAUAAGCUGUUGCUAAAGCAUUUCUACGCAGAAAUGAAACCAUUACAGUGAUUUUUCCUCUUUUGCUGCUUCUCAGGAGUCAUGAGGCCUCUCCCAAUGACUCAGUGAUAUUCUCUCCUCACUAGGUGUUCCAACAGUACCUGCCAUUCCCAAAGAAGAGACCUGCUGACAGACAUCCCUGCCUUUCUGUGCUGUGAGCUUCGUGCCACUGCAGUUAAUGCCAGCUGAGGAUUAAACCUAGAGAGCUGUAGUUUUCCAACUUCCAUAAUCCCACUGCUGUUAAAGAAAAGGUUCAGGAAUCAAGCUGUCACUUUAGGUUUCCACAGCUGUAGAUAGAAGUGUCUCCAUGAAUAUCAGAAAUGUGAACAACUGGUUGUCCUGUCAGGCUUUCUGAUUUGGAGACAAGUUAUCAAAGAAGAUACUUGGCUACCGAGAUGAAGUCUGUCACACAAAGCCUGAAACAGAAGCACACCAGAGCACAGCAGUGCUCAGUGUCCUUCCUGCAGCCAGAGGUAUCCCCAAACCCCAGGGAGCAGGGAUACCUUGUCCAGGAAGCACGAAUGCCUGUGUGGGAGCUGGAGGAACAGCUUGCUGCCUUUGGAAAGGUGACUGCUCAGCAGGGGAGCUGGGACAGGAGGAAGGAGAUGUGGAACCUGAAGGGCUGCUUGUUUCCAGUGAAGUGUCUUUAUUUGGUAUCUUCAUUCUCUUCCAAGGUACCAAAGAGAGGGACAGGAAUUCAUUUGCAAGCCUUAUGUAAUAUCCAGCCCUGCCAAGAGGUGCAUGCUGGGGGCUCCCUCUCCCCACACAGCACUCCAGGAUUCAGGAAUGCCUCCGCUUCCUUAUCUUUUGCAGAAGGCAAGCACAGACCUCCUACAAGAUCAUCUCCCACCUCUACUGUGCAUCUGUUCAUUUUCUGCCUGUCAAGGCUCUUCAGAAUUUAAAAGAUCUUGCAGGAGAUAGGAGAACAAGAUUUCAAGUUUGAGUGCAUCAGAUGCGACGUGAAACAUGAAUUUUUAUUGCUUGACUUAUUUUUCUUAAUUUUUUCUUUUAUUUUUUUUUUAAGUGGAAAAGAGAAAGGAGAACUGCUGCGUAGGGAACUGUUGCUUGCAGUAUAUCUUUCUCAGCAGUAAAAAUAUCUCCAAGACAGAAGUACAGUUCUCUUUUUAGUCCUGACACCUCCAAAGCCUGAUAUAUGUGGCUGAGCUAGAUGGAAAGGUAUUAUUAGGUUUUUUCUUGGAUUAUGAUGCAAGCUCAAGCUGGCUGGGCUCAUCAGGCAGUAAAUCCAGUGCAAACAGCUGGGGCCAAAUUCUGCUCUUGUCCAUGUUGCUGUUUGUGGCCAGAAUUCCUCUCCACUGGGAUCCUGGUUCCCUUCUAUCACUUGUGAGGGUGUACCCAGGGCAUGACUUACAGUGCAACCUGUCAUUGACAGAUUAAUUCUGACUACAUGCUAUUCAAGAAAAAAAUAAAAAGAGUUAUUCUUCCUUACACAGAACAGGAAUCCAAAAUUCAGGCCUUAAUCACACAGCUAAGAUUUGUUAGGUAUGGCACGGGGAGUUGUUUAUACAGGGCUUUUACCAUCAGUGACUUCUUGUUUCAAAAAUAAGCCCUUUUCAACUCCUUUCUGGUGUAAAGAAGUGAAUCAAACUGUGUUAAAGCGUGUAAAGACCUGGAGAUCUCCUGUUGACCUCAGCGGGGACUGCACAACGAUUGGGGAUCUGUGAGCACAGCCAGUGCUUUCCCUGUGCCAGGCAGUGUCCCAGCCUCACUAACAGCUCCCUGCAGGAAUGUCAAACCCAUUUUAAACCUGCUCCCAGUGCUGCCUGUGGAAGGGGCUGCCCAAAGGCACAGGUAUCAACCCAGGCCAACCCCCCAGAUGAUCCAUGACAGAGGAGCAACUGUACACUCAUAAAAACACCAAAUAGGUGCUGUAAUUCUAAAGGUCUCAACGCUUCAAGAUUUGCUGCAGAAAGAAUAAAAGCUCACCUGAAAAUAUGGCCAGUUUGAGAAAAUGAAAACUGUCCUGUCAGAAGCCAAGUUCUUGCUUAAAUGUCCCUAAGACAUAUUGCAGCAGAGCCGUAAAUCCAGAUGCCACCGCGUGUGGUUCUCAAGCCAAGCUUCCAAAAACCCCAACCUUUGUGAAUAUCUUUAUUUAUCAACCUAAAUUCAGCGCUGAGAUGAGCGACUUCAGCUGAAAGCAGCAGAAUAUACGUGAAACAGUAAAUAUUUUCCAAUUUAUUGCUGUAUUUGCAGCACCACCUUUUCAGAGUUUGUAGUCGUUCCCUCACACACUGAGAAAAUAUGUCUUCAUCUAAAAGCAGUGAAAAAUAAUAUUUCUGGCCCCCGUCUUAAUAGGCAUUCUGGCCUGAUACAGAUGCCAGUACUCCUGAGGCUCUUGUGGGGACAGUCUUCUCUAAAAAUUUCCACGUUUUAAUAAUGUUCAUCUCCUUUAGUGUUUCAAAACAAGUAUAAAAUCCUUAUCCUGGCCCUCCUGUUUAAGCAGUUUUCCUGUUCCUUUCCCGCUGACCUGUGCAUUGGGUGGACCAAGGGCAAGUAAUGGUCAGAUUUCUUUUAUUUUUUUUUCCCAGACAACCAUUUAAAAGAGGUAAAAAUUACACAAGACAUUGCAAGGCACUGGAAUUGCCUUGAAUUUGCCACUGUAAUUCUCCUUGUUCUCCUUUUCCCAGAGACAGCUGAAAAUAAGCUGCUCGAAAGAAGAAUUAUGUGUGAUACGAUCUGAGUUCAACUCAUCACUUAUCUUGCAUCACUAGUGUCCAAUAGACACUUCAGGCCAUUUGUUCUUUGGACAAUGAUCUGAAAUUGUUCCUGGAAUUUUAGGAACAAGAUCCCUUUCAGUUACAGUCUAAAAUCAGUGGGAUGAUUUCAUGAGAGAUUAGUUACUUGGGUGAAAAUUGGAAUCAAUCCGAAAAGUUUUCUGUUCUGAGUUCAGAAUUCUUGGUCCUGACAAUAUCUUUUACAUAACCAAAAAUGCAGGUGAAUGAAGAGCCAUCUGAACAGAGGUGAUUUCAUUACCAGGCUGGAUUGUCUCUGCAGCAUUCCUAUGAAAUGGAACGUGCUUACAUUUCACAGUAAUUUAUGUGGUCAUAGAAAUAUCUCUG